AGGGCACAGUCCUAUGACACUUGGGUCAGUCGUGUUACAGAAGCACUGUCUGCUAACUUCAACCACAAAAAAGAUUUGAUUGAAUUGCGAGUAAUGCUGGAAGAUGCUGAGGAUAGGAAAUACCCAGAGAAUGAUCUCUUUCGAAAACUCAGGGAUGCUGUAAAAGAAGCUGAGACCUGUGCUUCUGUGGCUCAGCUGCUUCUGAGCAAAAAGCAGAAACACAGGUAAACCUAAGAAGAGUUUAAUUCUCCAGUGUUUUCCUGUUUCUUUCAGAGUAAAAACCAAAAUUUUAUCUGGCCUGUGAAGCCGUACAUUAUCUUUGACCUCUUGUGGCCAUGUCUCUUGCUUCCCCAGUAAUGCUCCAGUUUUAUCUCCUAC
rnacentral:sRNA from 1 species